UCGAGAAUCUUUCGCAAUGGGGGAAACCCUGACGACGCGACGCCGCGUGGAGGAUGAAGGCCUUCGGGUUGUAAACUCCUGUCAGCAGGGGAGAACAAGCUUUUGGUGAAUAAUCAAGAGCUUUGACCGUACCUGCAGAGGAAGCCACGGCUAACUCUGUGCCAGCAGCCGCGGUAAUACAGAGGUGGCAAGCGUUGUUCGGCUUUAUUGGGCGUAAAGGGUCCGUAGGCGGCCUGAAAAGUUGGAUGUGAAAUCCCACAGCUUAACUGUGGAACUGCAUUCAAAACUUUCAGGCUCGAGUGUGAGAGGGGUAAAGGGAAUUCCCGGUGUAAGGGUGAAAUCUGCAGAGAUCGGGAGGAACACCAGUCGCGAAGGCGCUUUACUGGAUCACUACUGACGCUGAGGGACGAAAGCCAGGGGAGCAAACG
rnacentral:rRNA from 1 species